CCCUUAGAUGUUCUGGGCCGCACGCGCGCUACAAUGGUCUUCGCAAACGGAUGCAUUCUCGAAGGAGAAUGCCAAUCUUGGAAUCUAUGCCUUGGUCGGGACAGUUGCUUGCAAUUUUUCGACUCGAACCAGGAAUUCCUUGUAAUCGUGAUUCAUCACAUCACGAUGAAUACGUCCCUGCCCUUUGUACACACUGCCCGUCGCUCCUACCGAUCGAAGAGUUAGGUGAAUUGUUUUGAUCGAUAAGAUUUGACUAUGGUCAACUCUCGUUGUGAAAUUCUGUGAAUCUGACUGUUUAGAGGAAGGAAAAGUCGUAACA
rnacentral:rRNA from 1 species